rnacentral:rRNA from 1 species
UACGUAGGGGGCAAGCGUUGUCCGGAAUCAUUGGGCGUAAAGAGCGUGUAGGCGGCUUGGUAAGUCCGCUGCGAAAGUCCAGGGCUCAACCCUGGAAAGCCGGUGGAAACUGUCAAGCUUGAGUCCGGAAGAGGCGAGUGGAAUUCCUGGUGUAGCGGUGAAAUGCGCAGAUAUCAGGAGGAACACCGGUGGCGAAGGCGGGUCUCUGGGCCGAUAUUGACGCUGAGGAGCGAAAGCGUGGGGAGCGAACAGG